AUGGCACACUCUCAGCAAAUUCAUCCUGUCCUGACACUCGAGCCUACAAGCAGCCCCCAGCCUCCAGGACACAGAGAAGCAGCUGCAUUUCUUCUCCAACAACUGGGUCGUAAAAGCCCAGCACUGCCCCAGCCAGGGGUCCUCGGUGCCUGGGACAUCGAGGCUGCUCUGGGCCGAAGCCCACAGCACAGGAGCUGUGGUCGGAGGCGCAGCAUCUGUGGAGGCAGCGGGGGAGCUGUGCAGUCCCUCCUUCUCAGGCUCUCUGUCCAUCUUUCCCCCCCACCAAGCCCAGGGUGGUCCCGAGGCUCCAAGAGGCGGGGUCACCCCUUCUUAGAAACGAGGAACAAGGCUCGAGUGUCCAAGGUCAUGGACCCACAAAGCAGAGCAGGGCCUGCAGACAGACGGGCUUCCUCUGGGGCCAGGCUGGCUGGGGUCUGGGCAGCCUGCUCUGACCUCAAGGUCAGGAGUCCGAGGGCAGAGGUUCUGACCACCACACUGGGGCUGCUUCCUCAGCUCCCAGAGCUGGAGAGUCCCCAGUUAGGGAGCCCAACCCUCUGCCUCUGCCCAAAGGCUGGGUUCAGGUUCCAGACCCAGGGAGGGGUAGAGCCAAGAGAGGGCUACCGGGGAGCUGGCAAAACUGGAGCCCACAUUGUGCAGAUCUCAGCCUGGUGUCUCUUCUGGAGAGAUGGAAACGUGGCCCCACUGCAGGUUAGCUGGAGGGCAUGGAGGACGAGCUUGGAGAGCAAAGAGCCUGGAACUUCUGGAAGAAAGGGCCCAGAAGGCCGGCAUCCAGGGAGAUGGAACAGAAACAGACAGACAGACCCUGGCAGCUCCAACCAGGGAGUCAGGAUGAUCCCACUGAGGGAGGCGGGCCCUCCCCUCUCUAGGCCCACAGAGGGGGCGGUGAGAUCCAAGCUGUGGCUCACGUGGGGCAGGGGGCCGCUCUCCCGAGAAGGCAGCCAGGCCGCAAAUCCAACCCGACAGGGAGACACAGGCCUUCGAGGAUUAGCCCAGGAGAUUAGCAGAAACCUCCCCUGA
rnacentral:lncRNA from 1 species